AACGAACGCUGGCGGCAUGCCUAACACAUGCAAGUCGAACGAGACCUUCGGGUCUAGUGGCGCACGGGUGCGUAACGCGUGGGAACCUGCCCUUAGGUUCGGAAUAACUCCCCGAAAGGGGUGCUAAUACCGGAUAAUGUCUUCGGACCAAAGAUUUAUCGCCUUUGGAUGGGCCCGCGUUGGAUUAGCUAGUUGGUAGGGUAAAAGCCUACCAAGGCGAGGUUCCAUAGCUGGUCUGAGAGGAUGAUCAGCCACACUGGGACUGAGACACGGCCCAGACUCCUACGGGAGGCAGCAGUGGGGAAUAUUGGACAAUGGGCGAGAGCCUGAUCCAGCAAUGCCGCGUGAGUGAUGAAGGCCUUAGGGUUGUAAAGCUCUUUUACCCGGGAUGAUAAUGACAGUACCGGGAGAAGAAGCUCCGGCUAACUACGUG
rnacentral:rRNA from 1 species